AUGAUGCAAGUAGGAAUAGAGGUAGGAUAUUGGUCACGUAUAAAGGUUGAAGGCCAUGCAAUCUUUUUUUUGUCUACAUUACCGAGAGUAUUGCAGUUUGCGACUCUGUACCAAAUAUCAAGUCUUCACAAGUGCCAUAUUGACAUGCACUUCCCAGAAUUCAUUUGUAAGUUCAACACCAUCAAGUUCAAAUUUAAGAACACAACUUACAACAGUAGCAAGAGAUAUGUCUCCGUUAUGAUUUUCCAGGCUCUUCAGGAAUACUUUAGAUCAUGCAUGUUAGAGAAAAUCAAAGUUAUCAAUGCAACGUAA
rnacentral:rRNA from 1 species